GCUGGGCGUGGUGGCGCAUGUCUAUAAUCCCAGCUACUCAGGAGGCUGAGGCAGGAGAAUUGCUGGAACCCAGGAGGCAGAGGCUGCAGUGAGCCGAGAUCAUGCCACUGCACUUCAGCCUGGGUGACACAGCAAGACUCUGUCUCAA
rnacentral:SRP_RNA from 1 species